rnacentral:tRNA from 1 species
UGGGUCGGUGCCCGAGUGGUUAAUGGGGGUGGACUGUAAAUCCACUGGCUUAGCCUACGUUGGUUCGAAUCCAACCCGGCCCAUC